UACGGGGGGAGCAUGCGUUGUUCGGAUUUACUGGGCGUAAAGGGCGCGUAGGCGGUCACUACAAGUCAGUUGUGAAAUCUCUGGGCUUAACUCAGAACGGUCAACUGAUACUGUCGGACUAGAGUGCAGAAGGGGCAACUGGAAUUCUCGGUGUAGCGGUGAAAUGCGUAGAUAUCGGGAAGAACACCCGUGGCGAAGGCGGCUCUCUGGGACGGUACUGACGCUGAGACGCGAAAGCGUGGGGAGCAAACAGG
rnacentral:rRNA from 1 species